GGCCCAAUGGCCAAUGGUGGCGCCCGCACCACAUGACUCCUUUGUGUGUUUGAUUCAGCGGGAGUCCUGGUUCGAUUCCGGGUUGGGUCG